GCAGCUCAGUUGGUUAGAGCGUGGUGCUAAUAAUGCCAAGGUCACAGGUUCAAUCCCUGCUCACUGCA
rnacentral:tRNA from 1 species